GGAACUUCAACUCACACUAGGGCAAGCUGAUAAAGAGGAACAUACAAUACAAUAGACAGUGAAUCACACGGAACUAAAGGAUUAAAAAGGCAGACAGCAUGUAGUAUCCAAGAGGAAAUUGUCCUAAAUAAAGAGCCUUGGAGCUGGUGGCAGAGGUGGCAGACUGCCGCAGGGUGGUCCUGAGGAAGACGUGCUGCUGCUUCUUGUACUCAUCACAGGUCAGAAACUUCUCCUGCUCGGCGUGAAAAAGCCUCACCACGUCUCCCUGACGGAGAACACGAGCAAAACAUGAGAAAGCCGAGGUUGUCCAGCAAUUCGAUGUUGCUUGCAUGGAGAGGCUGCCCUGCGUUCACCGGCAUCAGCACCACCUUGUCUCCAACCACCACCUUCAACACGAAAAGAAACAGCAGUCAUAUCGCAGCACAGGAGGAGACACAGGCUGGUAAACUUGAUCAAGUUUUCAAAUCAAACCGGAGGGUGCUCGUCUUCACAUCCACUUCAGGGGGAGGAGACUGCUGCUGUCAGGCUCCGAGAAAAUUCCGCUCAAUCACAGGUUUCGGUUUUUAUUCGGAGCAGGCCCUCCAAAAAGUCAUUAACAUAUAUAUGCCCUUUUCCCUAUAGCUGUAUUGUUUCAGAAGAUCAAAGUGUAUUAUAAAGUUUGCCUAACAGGCUACCUACGUUUUGAUUAUAUUAAAAUACUGCACGAUAAGAAGUGUGAAUGUAUGGACAUAAACAUUACUCAAUAGUGAGUUCACUUUUUUCAAACUGUUAUAAAUGAACAAUACAAAACAAGUUAAGUUGGACUAUAAUGUGGAUCUAUUAGUAUUGCUUUGACACAACUUUUCCAAUGCUAUGACCACAUCUCGGAAAUUUCCUUGACUGUUUUCUUACUCAAACUUAACCACCACUAAAUUUAUACACACUCCAUUUGCACACGUUAACAAACUUUUGUUAGCAGAGUUAUAAUUCACAACAUGACAUAAAUUUGGAUCAGGCAUGCAAAAAAAAUAUUUCCUAGCAGUAGGCCUACAAAGAGAGGACAAACAGUGGAAUGUGGAUGAUCACUUGUGGCCAAAUGCAGAAGACAUGGUUCACUAGCACUGUUAUAUAUCCAAGUAAGUUUCAUUCUGUGCACUUGUUUUGCAAAAAAGGCAUAAAUAAAGGCAAAUAAACGUAAUAAAACAUU